GAUGAACGCUGGCGGCGUGCCUAAUACAUGCAAGUCGAGCGAACGGACGAGAAGCUUGCUUUUCUGAUGUUAGCGGCGGACGGGUGAGUAACACGUGGAUAACCUACCUAUAAGACUGGGAUAACUUCGGGAAACCGGAGCUAAUACCGGAUAAUAUUUUGAACCGCAUGGUUCAUAAGUGAAAGACGGUCUUGCUGUCACUUAUAGAUGGAUCCGCGCUGCAUUAGCUAGUUGGUAAGGUAACGGCUUACCAAGGCAACGAUGCAUAGCCGACCUGAGAGGGUGAUCGGCCACACUGGAACUGAGACACGGUCCAGACUCUUACGGGAGGCAGCAGUAGGGAAUCUUCCGCAAUGGGCGAAAGCCUGACGGAGCAACGCCGCGUGAGUGAUGAAGGUCUUCGGAUCGUAAAACUCUGUUAUUAGGGAAGAACAUAUGUGUAAGUAACUGUGCACAUCUUGACGGUACCUAAUCAGAAAGCCACGGCUAACUACGUG
rnacentral:rRNA from 1 species